AACUGAAAGCAUUUCCACUAAAACAAGGAAUGAAAC
rnacentral:other from 1 species